AGCUCCGUAGCUCAGUAGUUAGAGUGCUGGUAAACCAGAGGUCGUGAAUUCGAUCCUCGCUGGAGCCU
rnacentral:tRNA from 1 species